rnacentral:misc_RNA from 1 species
UGUUAUUUUCUGCAACACAAAACGAAAGGUUGAUUGGCUAACUAACAAGAUGCGUGAGAAUAAUUUUACAGUCUCAUCUAUGCACGGAGACAUGCCACAGAAGGAAAGAGAUGCUAUUAUGGCUGAGUUCCGAGGUGGCACGACUCGUGUUCUAAUCACAACAGAUGUUUGGGCGAGGGGACUUGAUGUUCAACAGGUGUCUCUGGUUAUUAAUUACGACCUUCCAAACAACAGAGAGCUCUACAUUCAUCGCAUUGGUCGGUCGGGUCGUUUUGGUCGAAAGGGUGUUGCUAUAAAUUUUGUGAAGACUGAUGAUAUUAAAAUUUUGAGAGACAUAGAGCAAUACUACAGUACCCAGAUAGAUGAAAUGCCCAUGAACGUGGCUGAUUUGAUAUAAAAGACUCGCGUGCCCGAUCUUCUGAACAUGGGUGUGUAUGGGUGCAUUGCUUUGCUUUCUGAGUGGUUUGUAUCGAAGUAUUCAAUUUGUAAUGGCGAGAAAUUAGAGGAUGUUCUAUUUAUUGGUACUAUGUGACAUAUUAGCUUUUCUUGUACUACACUUUGUUGCAACAUUUACUAGUCUU